UGGGGAAUUUUGGACAAUGGGGGAAACCCUGAUCCAGCCAUCCCGCGUGUGCGAUGAAGGCCUUCGGGUUGUAAAGCACUUUUGGCAGGAAAGAAACGUCAUGGGUUAAUACCCCGUGAAACUGACGGUACCUGCAGAAUAAGCACCGGCUAACUACGUGCCAGCAGCCGCGGUAAUACGUAGGGUGCAAGCGUUAAUCGGAAUUACUGGGCGUAAAGCGUGCGCAGGCGGUUCGGAAAGAAAGAUGUGAAAUCCCAGAGCUCAACUUUGGAACUGCAUUUUUAACUACCGGGCUAGAGUCUGUCAGAGGGAGGUUGAAUUCCGCGUGUAGCAGUGAAAUGCGUAGAUAUGCGGAGGAACACCGAUGGCGAAGGCAGCCUCCUGGGAUAACACUGACGCUCAUUCACGAAAGCGUGGGGAGCAAACAGG
rnacentral:rRNA from 1 species